rnacentral:rRNA from 1 species
GACGUAGGGCGCGAGCGUUGUCCGGAUUUAUUGGGCGUAAAGAGCUCGUAGGCGGCUUGUUGCGUCGACCGUGAAAACCCGGGGCUCAACUUCGGGCUUGCGGUUGAUACGGGCGGGCUGGAGUUCGGUAGGGGAGACUGGAAUUCCUGGUGUAGCGGUGAAAUGCGCAGAUAUCAGGAGGAACACCGGUGGCGAAGGCGGGUCUCUGGGCCGAUACUGACGCUGAGGAGCGAAAGCGUGGGGAGCGAACAGG